ACGCGUCUGACACUUUCUCUGUUUCUCGUCAGUUAUACCAAAGAAAAGUUCAACAACUGCAACAGAUUGUUUGUUUAUUUCUAAUAAGGAGCUGGAGGCCGUGGAGCAGCAGAUCUACAACCUCGUUGAGAAGCAGGCUCAGCUGAGAGAGCGGAGAGCCGUGCUGGAAACAUUCCCGGGUUGAUGCUCACAAGUCCGGGGUAAGUAUACAGCACGCUGCUAACUCUCCCACCCCCUCUACUCUGUGUGGUUCUCUGCACAGGCCCGGUGUACCCAGGACACAAUCUUCCCAGAUGUCCUUCACCCCGUGCCACAGCGUAAGACAUGAGCCAGGUCCCUGGGCGACAACCUCUCUCCCCCCGCUGCCUCCGGUCUUCGUGAUCUCCACUGGAAACCUAUUUGCUCCACUUCACGAGAAAGAACACGACUCUGUGUUCGUCAGAGACUCCAUUAUCCGGCACGUUCGUGCUAUAUUAGCUGAAGGUAAUGUGCACACUCACUGUUUCCCUGGUGCUUGUGUUCUUGAUAUUUCUGCACAGAUACCCGCGAUCCUGAAGGGGGACGAGAGCAUCGGAGCGGGCGUGCUUCACGAUACCAAAGCUGCGGCAGACGCAGACACUAAAGAGGGACUUCAGGAGCCUGAUCGAGACGGUGCGCAGCAUAUCGCCUGUACGAUGAUCAUAAUGUCAGGACCUCUUCCCAUGUAUAGAUGAGGACACGAAAGGGCAGUUUGUGAAGACAGAUAAUCAAGAGAUGUGACAAACUGUACAGAAGUCAGUUCCAGAUCCACCCUCCACACCAGACCUCUCUCUCAUAUGGAUUGCUGUCUACUAGCA